AAUCAACGCUGGCGGCGUGCCUCAGACAUGCAAGUCGAACGCGAAAGGUUCCUUCGGGAGCCGAGUAGAGUGGCGCUCGGGUGAGUAACACGUAGGUAAUUUGCCUUUGGGUGGGGAAUAACAAUCGGAAACGGUUGCUAAUACCGCAUAAUGCAGCGGCUCGACAUCGAGACAGUUGUUAAAGCGGGGGAUCCUUCGGGGACCUCGCGCCUAAAGAGAAGCCUGCGGCGGAUUAGCAGUUGGUGAGGUAAUGGCUCACCAAGGCGACGAUCCGUAACCGGCCUGAGAGGGCGGACGGUCACACUGACACUUAAAUACGGGUCAGACUCCUACGGGAGGCAGCAGUCGGGAAUUUGGGCAAUGGGCGAAAGCCUGACCCAGCAACGCCGCGUGAA
rnacentral:rRNA from 1 species